AUUGAACGCUGGCGGCAUGCCUUACACAUGCAAGUCGAACGGCAGCACGGGGCAACCUGGUGGCGAGUGGCGAACGGGUGAGUAAUGCAUCGGAACGUACCUUUCAGUGGGGGAUAACGUAGCGAAAGUUACGCUAAUACCGCAUAUUCUGUGAGCAGGAAAGCAGGGGAUCGCAAGACCUUGCGCUGAUUGAGCGGCCGAUGUCAGAUUAGCUAGUUGGUGAGGUAAAGGCUCACCAAGGCGACGAUCUGUAGCGGGUCUGAGAGGAUGAUCCGCCACAAUGGAACUGAGACACGGUCCAGACUCCUACGGGAGGCAGCAGUGGGGAAUUUUGGACAAUGGGGGCAACCCUGAUCCAGCCAUGCCGCGUGAGUGAAGAAGGCCUUCGGGUUGUAAAGCUCUUUCGGCCGGGAAGAAAUCGCACGGGCUAAUACCCUGUGUGGAUGACGGUACCGGAAUAAGAAGCACCGACUAACUACGUGCCAGCCGCCGCGGUAAGAC
rnacentral:rRNA from 1 species